rnacentral:lncRNA from 1 species
CACGAAUUUGAUUCUCAGCCCCCACUGUGAAACUCACAAUUGUCUAUACUCUAGUUCCAGAGAAUCAGACUUCCUAGAUGUGCGUGUGGUGAACAGACAUCUGUACAGGCAAAAUACCAAUACACAUAAUAAAAUAAAUUAAAACAUGAUAUUUGGAAUAAUAGUGACAUUAUUUUCUGUUUUAUUAUAGUUUCUUGAGGAUUGAAAACAUUAAAAGAAGUUAUGUUGGACUACACACAGAUACACGUGCAUACAAAGACAUCGCUAGCUAUUAAUUACCAUCUUUUGCUGGUAGGAAUAGAAUUUCACCUGAGAGAACUGCUAUGGGAAAAUCACUUCACCAGGAAAGGCUGAACAUUCAUCACAAUAAUCCUCAAAAUCGGAGACCCAAGCUUCCUCCUUCACCUAUUAGGAAAGAGACGGUUUAGCUGACCUUGGAAAUGUCUG